UACUUUAUUCUGUUCUAUUUUAUAAAAUUAUAUUCUACUUUAUUCUGUUGUGUUUUCAGACGGGGGCGUCGCUCCACCAGUAGCUCCUCCUCCGAGUCCACCCGCAAGAGGCGGAGCCACAGCACUGACCGGGCCAGAGGCCACCGAUCCCGCAGGUCCUCCUCACGCAGCCGCAACAAGAGGUCUCGGUCACGCCAUCGGAAGUCCCGGAGUCAGAGCAGCAGUCGCAGACGCAGCCGCUCCCGCAGUGGGAGUCGCAGUAAAGACCGCGGCAGCCGACGGAAGGGCAGAGAGGGGGACAGGAGCCGAGACAAAGAACGAGAGAAGGAGAGAGAACGAGAGAAGGAGAAGAAGGAGAAGAAGGAGAGAGAAAAACAAGAGUAAGGAUCGUUUCCACCCUCCCUCCUCCUCCCUCCUCUCCUCUCCGGAUUAGUCACUCUUUCACUCUUCCGCUCUUGCUCUCCCUUUACUCUCUCUUUUACUCCCUCUUCUUCACUCUAUCUCUCUCUCACUCUCUUCCAUCUUUACGUUAUUGGUCACUGUUGCACACACACACGCACGCACGCACGCACGCACGCACGCACGCACGCACGCACGCACGCAUACACACAGUCUUGUCUGUUGUCAGUAAUGGUCAGUAAUCCUGAUCUCACCUUGUCAGUGUCACAAAAAAAAGCAGAACUCACGUCUGUGUCUUUCUCUCUCUCAUGUGUGUAUUGAUGGGAGGAUGUACGUCUCUCUCUCUCUCUCUCAGUGGUCAUACAUGUUGUGUGUAUUGAUGGGAGGAUGUACGUCUCUCUCUCUCUCAGUGGUCAUACAUGUUGUGUGUAUUGAUGGGAGGAUGUACGUCUCUCUCUCUCUCUCUCAGUGGUCAUACAUGUUGUGUGUAUUGAUGGGAGGAUGUACGUCUCUCUCUCUCUCAGUGGUCAUACAUGUUGUGUGUAUUGAUGGGAGGAUGUACGUCUCUCUCUCUCUCUCAGUGUGUAUUGAUGGUAUUCAGGGAUAUAUUGAAUUAGUUCUGUUUCUCCUCAGUGUCAAUGUGUGAAGUGUGUCUGUACCUGUGAAGGGAAUCUGAUGUCUUUAGUCCAGGUGUAAUAUAGAGCAGCGCAGCCAAAACCUUAUUCCCCCAACUCCCCCUGCUCCAGCCCGCCCCCACGGCCUGGGCCUAAUCUGAUUGGGUGAUGGGCUAAUGUGAUGGGGCCAGUCGGGGUUGUCAGUCAAACUGAGUUGGGGCUUGUAUUGGUUUCAGACUGGACAGAUGGACUGGUU
rnacentral:lncRNA from 1 species